rnacentral:sRNA from 1 species
AUCUGAUGGAGUGCUUGCACUCCUGAAGGUUAGCGGCGGACGGGUGAGUAAUAUGUAGGUAACCUGCCUGUAAGACUGGGAUAACCCACGGAAACGUGAGCUAAUACCGGAUAGGCGAGACUCCCGCAUGGGGGAUUCGAGAAAGGCGGAGCAAUCUGCCACUUACAGGUGGACCUACGGCGCAUUAGCUAGUUGGUGAGGUAACGGCUCACCAAGGCGAGGAAGCGUAGCCGACCUGAGAGGGUGAUCGGCCACACUGGGACUGAGAUCUCGGCCCAGAGAACUACGGGAGGCAGCUUUUCAUCUGCUGAU